rnacentral:rRNA from 1 species
CUUUUUAUGAGAGUUUGAUCCUGGCUCAGGACGAACGCUGGCGGCGUGCCUAAUACAUGCAAGUCGAACGCUUUUAUCUCACCGGGUGCUUGCACCCACCGAGAUAAAGGAGUGGCGGACGGGUGAGUAACACGUGGGUAACCUGCCCAUAAGUGGGGGAUAACAUUCGGAAACGGAUGCUAAUACCGCAUAUCUCUAUUGGCCUCAUGGCCAAGUGAUGAAAGGCGGCUUCGGCUGUCGCUUAUGGAUGGACCCGCGGCGCAUUAGUUAGUUGGUGAGGUAACGGCUCACCAAGACGAUGAUGCGUAGCCGACCUGAGAGGGUGAUCGGCCACACUGGGACUGAGACACGGCCCAGACUCCUACGGGAGGCAGCAGUAGGGAAUCUUCCGCAAUGGACGAAAGUCUGACGGAGCAACGCCGCGUGAGUGAAGAA